rnacentral:rRNA from 2 species
AGUCUUUUGAGGUGUUAUAAAAGAUGGUUUCUGCUCAGUGUUUAAGUAAACAGCCGCGGUAAUUUGACCGUGCAAAGGUAGCAUAAUUAUUUGCCCUGUAAUUGAGGGCUAGAAUGAAUGGGAGAACAAAAUGUCUGCUUUAUUUUUAAGAAAAAAAGAAUUUUCUUUUUUAGUGAAGAAGCUAAAAUUGUUGUGAGGGACAAGAAGACCCUUUUGAGCUUUAGUAAUUAUAUUUUUCUUAAAUGUCAUUACUUUGGUUGGGGCGACCAAGGAAGAAAAGAUCUUCUUUUUAGAACGUUGAUCCGGGGGUUUCGAUAAAUGAACUAAGCUACCAAAGGGAUAACAGCGUAAUUUUUUUUGUGAGUUCUUAUUUAAAAAAAAGAUUGCGACCUCGAUGUUGACUUAUGAUUUCCUGUUGGUGUAGAAGCUAUUAGGGUGGGUCUGUUCGACCUUUAAAAUUUU